rnacentral:rRNA from 1 species
GACGAGCGGCGGACGGGUGAGUAAUGCUUGGGAACAUGCCUUUAGGUGGGGGACAACCAUUGGAAACGAUGGCUAAUACCGCAUAAUGUCUACGGACCAAAGGGGGCUUCGGCUCUCGCCUUUAGAUUGGCCCAAGUGGGAUUAGCUAGUUGGUGAGGUAAUGGCUCACCAAGGCAACGAUCCCUAGCUGGUUUGAGAGGAUGAUCAGCCACACUGGAACUGAGACACGGUCCAGACUCCUACGGGAGGCAGCAGUGGGGAAUAUUGCACAAUGGGCGCAAGCCUGAUGCAGCCAUGCCGCGUGUGUGAAGAAGGCCUUCGGGUUGUAAAGCACUUUCAGUUGUGAGGAAAGGUUAGUAGUUAAUACCUGCUAGCUGUGACGUUAGCAACAGAAGAAGCACCGGCUAACUCCGUGCCAGCAGCCGCGGUAAUACGGAGGGUGCGAGCGUUAAUCGGAAUUACUGGGCGUAAAGCGUACGCAGGCGGUUUGUUAAGCGAGAUGUGAAAGCCCCGGGCUCAACCUGGGAACUGCAUUUCGAACUGGUGAACUAGAGUGUGAUAGAGGGUGGUAGAAUUUCAGGUGUAGCGGUGAAAUGCGUAGAGAUCUGAAGGAAUACCGAUGGCGAAGGCAGCCACCUGGGUCAACACUGACGCUCAUGUACGAAAGCGUGGGGAGCAAACGGGAUUAGAUACCCCGGUAGUCCACGCCGUAAACGAUGUCUACUAGGAGUUCGGUUUUUCGGAACUGUCUUCCAAAGCUAACGCAUUAAGUAGACCGCCUGGGGAGUACGGCCGCAAGGUUAAAACUCAAAUGAAUUGACGGGGGGCCCGCACAAGCGGUGGAGCAUGUGGUUUAAUUCGAUGCAACGCGAAGAACCUUACCUACACUUGACAUCCAGA